UUGGCGGCAGUGAUGACCAAAAAAUACCUACCUAUUUUUGAACUCCUGAUUGAGAGAAACCAAUGGAUCCUUCUGAGCCUACCA